AUUUAAUUUUAAUUGUGGGAAGAAAGGCAGAUACGAGCCCACUGCUCUGAGGUUCCUGGGACAUCCUGCAGCAAAGAUUCUCCAUGCUUAUAAUCCUAGUAGGGACAGCGAGGUUGUGGUGAAUUCAGUGUUUGCAGCUGCUGGACAUUUCCAUGUGCCGCCCGUUCCCUGCAGGGUAAUUCCAGCAAUGGGGAAAACUUCCUUCAGAAUUAUUUUCUUACCUACUGAAGAAGGAAGCAUUGAAAGUUCCUUAUUUAUUAAUACCUCUUCGUAUGGAGUCCUUUCCUAUCAUGUAUCUGGAAUUGGCACUCGUAGAAUCUCUACAGAAGGGUCUGCAAAGCAACUACCAAAUGCUUAUUUUCUGCUUCCAAAGGUCCAGAGCAUUCAGCUGUCUCAAAUGCAGGUCAUUUUAAUAGAUUUACUUUGAGUGCUGGUGGCCACCAAACUUUGUAACCUUCCCAGAAUUGGUUAUUUUACUAUUUUCUGCUUUUUGAAAAAAUUUUAUAGAAAUAAUAUACAUAUAUAAAGUAUCAGUGGAUUCCACAUAACUUCUUUUUAAUGGCUGUGGAGUUCACAAUGUUGAUAUUCCAGGGUUUGCUUAAUCUUAUUGUUGGUCUUUUGAAAUGUUUCCUGUUUUUCACUGUUAUUACCGUUAGGCCAUAUACCUAUUUUAUAAGUUUCUUUAAUUUUCCUUCUGAAUCCUCUGUUUCCUUGGGGCAUGUUUCAUAAAGAGGAGAGAUACUUUAGUUAAAGACUGUGAACCAUUUUGUAGAGCUUGUUAAAUCUUACCAGCUAGCUUUUCAGGG
rnacentral:sRNA from 1 species